UUUCCAGGCUCAUGUAUAUUAGUUUGUGUAUUAGAUUAUCCAAACUGCUUCUUUCUCGAAAACAGCGCCAGCAUAAAAACCCUUGACUAGUAUCUUUGAAUCUGAUAAAGAAGCAACAAUUGUCAAUGAGACAAUGGAAGUCAGGAACCUUAUAGUUGAGGGAACUGCAGAUGAGCCUGCAAUGGCAUUGGAACCAGGACUAGGCGACUAGCUCCCAUUUCUUCUUCAUUCCAAAGACCAAGAUUCUACUACCUCAAUACAACCUAUUGCACCUCCUUUAACCAUGGCGUAGAUUCCUCCCCUCUCAUAUAAUUCUGCUGAAUCUCAUCCUCUCACUACAACAUCUUUGCCAACUUCUCCAGCAGAUAUUUCCAACACUUAUUUGGCCCUUUUAGUAGCUCCACAACCCUCUUUUCAAGCUUCUGCCAGAAGCCUUGCUAGCUCUGUACCUUCAGCCAACUAGAGAGUGAGGCACUACUCAAGUUUCAUUCUCGGCUAUAGAUGAUGCAAGGAUCUUCAUUGCAAAACAUGAGAGUAUGCUUGACGACUCUCUUGAGGUUCUACCAGGGUGUUCACAGCAGCCAACGGUAAGUAGUCAUGAGAUAAACGAUGCGAAGGAGUUUAUCCGUCGCUGCUGUCUCAUGGAUUUGAGCAUCUCACUUGUCAAAAUCAAAGGGAUAAGUUUCUUUCAUCCCUUAUGUUGUUGAUGAGCAUUGACUACUUCACCAUAUAUAUGCUUGACACGGUUUUGAGCUUCCGUAUGCUAAGUGUUUGAAGAGACAUUUACAUACUCUCAAUGUCAAUAGAGUAUUCGGGAGAUUGAAAAUGUUAAAGAACAAGUAACCACUCUGAAGGAAGAAUUGUCAAGCAAACACAGCCAAUUUGUCCAACUUAUGAGAGAUAUUAAGGUUGCAACUAAGGAGAAAGAGGAGCUAAGAAAGCAACUUCAGCAGAAAAAUAAAUGCAUUGCUUCUUUAGAGGAACAAGACAGGAUUCUUGUGGAAUCACCAAGAACAUCCAACAAUGCUUUGAGUCAAUAUCAUGAAUGCGAUAACAUCAUCAAUGGCAUUGAUGCCUCUUGGGAUAACUUCAGAACGGGGAUCGCAGAGCUAAUUUGAGACUAAUACCAUACUUUUCAAGUUGUAUCCAGAAAAAAUUAUCAUUAUCAUCUUACGCAGUAUUACGUGUCAUUUACACUAUGCAUUACUUUGGAAUUAGAAUCUUCAGAUUCUCAUCCAAGAAUUUAAUGCUUUCUUUUACAAUAGGAACUGU